rnacentral:rRNA from 1 species
GACGAACGCUGGCGGCGUGCUUAACACAUGCAAGUCGAGCGGAGCGGCGAACGGGUGAGUAACGCGUGAGUAACUGCCCCCCUCUCUGGGAUAACAGUUGGAAACGGCUGCUAAUACCGGAUAGUGGGGGAUGACUCGCGUCCUAUCAGCUUGUUGGUGGGGUAGUGGCCUACCAAGGCGACGACGGGUAGCCGGCCUGAGAGGGAGACGGGCCACAUUUGGCUGAGAUACGGCCCAAGCUCCUACGGUGGGCAGCAGUGGGGAUGAUUGCCCAUGGGGGGAAACCCUGAUGCAGCAACGCGCGUGCGGGAUUACGGCCUUCGGGUUGUAAACCGCUUUCAGCCAUGACGCGGUAGUGGCUUAAGAAGCACCGGCUAACGACGUGCCAGCCGCCGCGGUAAUUC